rnacentral:rRNA from 1 species
UACAGAGGUCCCAAGCGUUGUUCGGAUUCACUGGGCGUAAAGGGUGCGUAGGCGGUUGGGUAAGUCUGACGUGAAAUCUCCGGGCCUAACCCGGAAACUGCGUUGGAUACUAUCCGGCUAGAGGAAUGGAGGGGAGACUGGAAUACUUGGUGUAGCAGUGAAAUGCGUAGAUAUCAAGUGGAACACCAGUGGCGAAGGCGAGUCUCUGGACAUUUCCUGACGCUGAGGCACGAAAGCCAGGGGAACAAACGGG